rnacentral:lncRNA from 1 species
GGUUUGGGACGAAAAUGUUGAGUUUUUCGACCAAAAAGUUCAGUUUUCCGGCGAAAAAGGAGUUUUCCGGCAACUUUAAUAAUUGGGGCGUUUACUAGAAAAAGGUUCCCAAAGGUCCACAAUAAGGUUACAAAGAGGUUCGGGACGAAAAUAUUGAGUUUUCUGGCCAAAAAAUGUUUUUCCGGCGACCGGAACACUAACGGCGUUAGGUUUCUGUUAGUCAGGGUCCAUUGGAGGCCAAUAUGUUAAAAGUUAGGAUUUGGCCAAUAAGGUCUAGAUGAGAUUAUUACAAACCAAUUUCCCUAUUUUUAAAGUUGGGACUGUUGGUGGCAAACGACGAAUAGUUGGGAUUAUUAAAAUCCAAUAUUCCUUUUUUAACGUGUUUUAGUCGCAUGUGGACGGCUAAAGCGAUUUAAUUAGGGGAUUAAUACAAAUUAUAAAAAAGAAAUUGUUUUGUAAAUAAAUUAUUUUGAUAGACCCAAUAAACCAAGAUACUAUUGGGUAGCGUUUGGUAUGCAAUAUUAAGAGGCAGAAUGAAAUAGACUAUU